rnacentral:ncRNA from 2 species
ACCAGUUCUCGGGGCGGGGUGAGAUUCCCCACCGGCGGUGAUGAGGGUGCGGUGGAUCCGCAUCGUCCAGCCCGCGAGCGCCUGCCACCAGGCAGGGACAGCAGAUUCGGUGCGAAUCCGAAGCCGACGGUCACAGUCCGGAUGCGAGAGAACAGGC